UACGUAGGGUGCAAGCGUUGUCCGGAAUUAUUGGGCGUAAAGAGCUCGUAGGCGGUUUGUCGCGUCUGCUGUGAAAACCCGAGGCUCAACCUCGGGCCUGCAGUGGGUACGGGCAGACUAGAGUGCGGUAGGGGAGAUUGGAAUUCCUGGUGUAGCGGUGGAAUGCGCAGAUAUCAGGAGGAACACCGGUGGCGAAGGCGGGUCUCUGGGCAGUAACUGACGCUGAGGAGCGAAAGCGUGGGGGAGCGAACAGG
rnacentral:rRNA from 1 species